AGAGUUGGCGAGGGGGUUGCGGAUUCGUUUUAAGCGACGAAUCUGAGGAAAGUCCGGGCUCCCGAAAGACCAAACUUGCUGGAUAACGCCCAGUGUACGCGAGUGCGAGGAGAGUGCCACAGAAACAUACCGCCUUUUUUAGGUAAGGGUGCAAAGGUGCGGUAAGAGCGCACCAGCAGUAUCGUGAGGUACUGGCUCGGUAAACCCCGGUUGGGAGCAAGGUCGGAGGGACUAAGGUUGGUCUUUUCCCCGUCCCGUUUUAGGUGAACCGCAAGAGGUGUUUGGUAACAAACAUCCCAGAUAGAUAACUCCCCUCAUCGAUGGCAACAUCUAUGAAGAACAGAACCCGGCUUAUGUCCAACUCUCUCC
rnacentral:RNase_P_RNA from 17 species